UACGUAGGGGGCGAGCGUUGUGCGGAAUCAUUGGGCGUAAAGCGCGCGCAGGCGGUUUCUUAAGUCUGGUGUGAAAGCCCGGGGCUCAACCGCGGAACUGCAUUGGAUACUGGGAGGCUUGAGUGCCGGAGAGGGAAGUGGAAUUCCCGGUGUAGCGGUGAAAUUCGUAGAUAUAGGGAGGAGCACCAGUGGCGAAGGCGGCUAUCUGGUCUGUGACUGACGCUGAGACGAGAAAGCGUGGGGAGCAAACAGG
rnacentral:rRNA from 1 species